rnacentral:lncRNA from 1 species
GUACGGCCACUCUACAAUGGAAGUUCAGGUGGUGUGGAUUUGCCUUUACAUUUUAUCUCAACCUCCUUUACCUGCAUUUACAGUCCUACUCUUACAUCUGCCUCUUGGCAGGUAGGGGAGAGAGUGGAUUAUUACUUUGGGUUUAGGGGUGACAUAUGACAAUUUUUUGAAUUAUUGCUUUUGCAGGAAGCUUUUGUUAAAAUAAGAGAACAAGCGAAGGCGUACUUGGAAAUGAAAGGAGAGCUAAUCAGUGGUCUUAAUUUGAUUAAUAGUACUAACCUGGAACAUUUUCCUGUUAAAAACAAGGCUGAAAUUUUUCGCCUGAAGGGUGAUUUUCUGUUGAAGCUUAGUGACGGUGAAGGUGCAAAUCUUGCUUAUUCAAAUGCCAUCAGUCUCUUCAAGAACUUGCCUAAAGGAUGGAUCAGUUGGGGCAAUUAUUGUGACAUGGUAUGCAUUAUUCGUUUUUGGUAAUAAAAAUUUCUAUACACUAAUAGUGUUAAUGCUUAUUAUGUCUGUUUUCUCAGGCUUACAGAGAAACCCAUGAGGAAAUUUGGUUAGAAUUUUAUAAUAAAUAAGGGGAAUACUUAUGAUAUGAAGAGCAUGUGGCAUAGCCAUGAUGACAUAUGCUGCCAUUAUGCCACCAGGUUCUUCCUUUUCUUGGCUUAUGAUAUUUCUGGGGCAAAUAUCCCCAUUGGAUGGAUUUAUGCUUUAGAAUUUGGUUUGGCGUGGGGGUGUCUAUUGAUAGGAGCAGACCAUCUUGAAAUUGCUUUAAAUUUAUUGAAAACUCAAAUACUGGUUGUCCUUCUUGCUCUUUGUAUAAAAGGUAAUUGUAAUUGCUUUUAAAUCUGGCCUCACUGUAGGUAUUGGACCUUAUCAUCCCACUUAGAGAGCUGGCACAUGCAGAUGCAAAUGUUGCGUAUCAUUUGUGGGUCUUGGUGUUUCCUAUUGUUUGGGUGACCUUGCACAAGGAUGAACAGGUAACACUAGCUAAGCCCAUGAUAGCCCUCUUGUCAAAGGACUAUCAUAAGAAGCAGCAAGCACAUAGGCCAAAUGUUGUGCAAGCUCUUUCGGAAGGACUUCAAUUAUGUCAUCCUCAGCCACGGAUGCCUAGUGAACUAAUCAAAUACAUUGGAAAGACUUAUAAUGCAUGGCACAUUGCACUGACACUACUGGAAAGUCGUGUAAUGUUGUCCUGGAAUGACAUGAAGUGCUCUGAGUCUCUGGCAGAGCUUUAUCGAUUGCUUAACGAAGAAGAUAUGAGGUGUGGUUUAUGGAAGAAGAGAACAAUUACGGCAGAAACUAGGUCUGGACUGUCUCUAGUUCAGCAUGGUUAUUGGCAACAGGCACAAAGCCUUUUCUACCAUGGCAUGGUGAAAGCAACUCAAGGUACUUACAACAAUACUGUACCAAAAGCUGAGAUGUGUCUUUGGGAAGAACAGUGGCUCCAUUGUGCUACUCAACUGAGUCAGUGGGAAGCUUUGGUGGAGUUUGGCAAACAGAUUGAAAAUUAUGAGAUACUACUAGAUAGUCUGUGGAAACAGCCUGAUUGGGCAUAUCUGAAAGAUCAUGUUGUUUCAAAGGCUCAAGUAGAAGAAACUGCAAAGCUCUGUAUAAUCCAAGCAUAUUUUUAUCUUCAUGAGAAAAAUACAAAUGGAGUAGCAGAGGCUGAAAGCAUAGUGGGAAAAGGCGUUGAUCUAGCUUUGGAACACUGGUGGCAAUUGCCCGAAAUGUCCAUUAAUGCUAGAAUUCCCCUACUGCAGCAGUUUCAGCAACUAGUUGAAGUUCAAGAGUCAGCACGGAUUAUUGUGGAUAUUGCAAAUGGGAACAAACUUCCUGCUAAUUCUGUUGUUGGUGUUCAUGGGGGCUUGUAUGCAGAUCUCAAGGAUAUCCUCGAGACAUGGAGAUUGAGGACACCGAAUGAAUGGGACAAUACAUCUGUUUGGUAUGAUUUGCUUCAGUGGAGGAAUGAGAUGUAUAAUGUAGUUAUAGAUGCAUUUAAGGAUUUUGGUAAUACAAAUUCACAGUUGCAUCAUCUUGGAUUCCGUGACAAGGCAUGGAAUGUCAAUAAACUUGCUCACAUUGCCCGAAAGCAUGGCUUGGAUGAUGUUUGUGUGUCUAUACUGGAGAAAAUGUACGGCCACUCUACAAUGGAAGUUCAGGUGGUGUGGAUUUGCCUUUACAUUUUAUCUCAACCUCCUUUACCUGCAUUUACAGUCCUACUCUUACAUCUGCCUCUUGGCAGGUAGGGGAGAGAGUGGAUUAUUACUUUGGGUUUAGGGGUGACAUAUGACAAUUUUUUGAAUUAUUGCUUUUGCAGGAAGCUUUUGUUAAAAUAAGAGAACAAGCGAAGGCGUACUUGGAAAUGAAAGGAGAGCUAAUCAGUGGUCUUAAUUUGAUUAAUAGUACUAACCUGGAACAUUUUCCUGUUAAAAACAAGGCUGAAAUUUUUCGCCUGAAGGGUGAUUUUCUGUUGAAGCUUAGUGACGGUGAAGGUGCAAAUCUUGCUUAUUCAAAUGCCAUCAGUCUCUUCAAGAACUUGCCUAAAGGAUGGAUCAGUUGGGGCAAUUAUUGUGACAUGGUAUGCAUUAUUCGUUUUUGGUAAUAAAAAUUUCUAUACACUAAUAGUGUUAAUGCUUAUUAUGUCUGUUUUCU